AUACUUACCUGGCAGGGGAGAUACCAUGAUCAAGAAGGUGGUUCACCUUUGGCGAGGCUCUGCCAUUGCACUUCGGCGGUAGCUGACCUGAACAAAUUCCCCAAAUGUGGGAAUCUCGACUGCUUGAAGGGGAUGUAGCUCAGUGGUAGAGCGCAUGCU